rnacentral:rRNA from 1 species
GGUGAACGCUGGCGGCGUGCUUAACACAUGCAAGUCGAACGGUGAAGCUCCAGCUUGCUGGAGUGGAUCAGUGGCGAACGGGUGAGUAACACGUGAGCAACCUGCCCCUGACUCUGGGAUAACAGCCGGAAACGGCUGCUAAUACCGGAUAUGCACCAUGAACGCAUGUUCUGUGGUGGGAAAGAUUUUUCGGUUGGGGAUGGGCUCGCGGCCUAUCAGCUUGUUGGUGAGGUAAUGGCUCACCAAGGCGUCGACGGGUAGCCGGCCUGAGAGGGUGACCGGCCACACUGGGACUGAGACACGGCCCAGACUCCUACGGGAGGCAGCAGUGGGGAAUAUUGCACAAUGGGCGAAAGCCUGAUGCAGCAACGCCGCGUGAGGGAUGACGGCCUUCGGGUUGUAAACCUCUUUUAGCAGGGAAGAAGCGAGAGUGACGGUACCUGCAGAAAAAGCGCCGGCUAACUACGUG